GAAAAGAAGUUUAAGAAAGAAUGAAUGAGAAGAGGAUAGGGUGCAGGAUGUAGGCUACCAUAGAAAGUUAUAAUUCUUUAUGGAGAGAAGUGAUAGGAAAUUGAUUAUUUAAUUUUGGAUGGAUCCCAUGGUGUAAAAUAAAGUGAAUUAAACUUCUAGAAGGGUGUUGUAUUAGUUACAGGGGGUAGGAUUAUAAGAUUUAAGCAAAUUAAAUGAAAAUGUUGGCACAUGGUUUUAUUUUUUAUUUUUGAAAGAGAACGUUAUUAAUUAAAAGUGUUUUUAUUGGGUUAUUAAUUUGAAAGCUUAAACAUGUGAUUUGUUUAUAAUUUAAAGGUGUGUGAAUUGGGAAAGACCGAAACAUGAUUUCAUGGUUGCUUAUGGUAGUUUCAAAUGUCGAAUCUUUUGGUGAGAUUCUUAGUGUUUUAGAAUGAAAGUAGGAGCUCAGUCUUGG
rnacentral:lncRNA from 1 species